rnacentral:misc_RNA from 1 species
GAUGAAGAACGUAGUGAAAUGCGAUAAGUAGUGUGAAUUGCAGAAUUCAGUGAAUCAUCGAAUCUUUGAACGCACAUUGCGCCCCAUGGUAUUCCGUGGGGCAUGCCUGUUCGAGCGUCAUUUACCCCCCUCAAGCUCUGCUUGGUGUUGGGCGUCUGUCCCGCUUCACGCGCGGACUCGCCCCAAAGGUAUUGGCAGCGGUCGUGCCAGCUUCUCGCGCAGCACAUUGCGCUUCUCGAGGCACCGGCGGAUUCGCGUCCAUCAAGCCCACUUCCCCAUUUUGACCUCGGAUCAGGUAGGGAUACCCGCUGAACUUAAGCAUAUCAAUAAGCGGAGGA